UACCAGCUCUCCGAGUGGUAGGGAUGAUUAUUGGGCUUAAAGCGUCCGUAGCCGGCUUAGCAAGUCUCCUGUUAAAUUCAGCGACCUAAUCGUUGAGCCGCGGGAGAUACUACUAUGCUAGGAGGCGGGAGAGGUCGACGGUACUUUCGGGGUAGGGGUGAAAUCCUAUAAUCCCGGGAGGACCACCAGUGGCGAAGGCUGUCGACUAGAACGCGCUCGACGGUGAGGGACGAAAGCUGGGGGAGCGAACCGGAUUAGAUACCCGGGUAGUCCCAGCUGUAAACGAUGCGGGCUAAGUGUUGGGGUGGCUACGUGCCACUUCAGUGCCGCAGGGAAGCCAUUAAGCCCGCCGCCUGGGGAGUACGGCCGCAAGGCUGAAACUUAAAGGAAUUGGCGGGGGAGCACCACAAGGCGUGAAGCUUGCGGUUC
rnacentral:rRNA from 1 species